AUUGAACGCUGGCGGCAUGCCUUACACAUGCAAGUCGAACGGCAGCGGACCUUCGGGUGCCGGCGAGUGGCGAACGGUGAGUAAUAUAUCGGAACGUACCUUUCAGUGGGGGAUUACGUAGCGAAAGUUACGCUAAUACCGCAUAUUCUGUGAGCAGGAAAGCAGGGGAUCGCAAGACCUUGCGCUGAUUGAGCGGCCGAUAUCAGAUUAGCUAGUUGGUGAGGUAAAGGCUCACCAAGGCGACGAUCUGUAGCGGGUCUGAGAGGAUGAUCCGCCACACUGGAACUGAGACACGGUCCAGACUCCUACGGGAGGCAGCAGUGGGGAAUUUUGGACAAUGGGCGCAAGCCUGAUCCAGCCAUGCCGCGUGAGUGAAGAAGGCCUUCGGGUUGUAAAGCUCUUUCGGCCGGGAAGAAAUCGCACAGGUUAAUACCCUGUGUGGAUGACGGUACCGGAAUAAGAAGCACCGGCUAACUACGUG
rnacentral:rRNA from 1 species